UUGUCCCAAACAGGACAGCGCCA
rnacentral:piRNA from 1 species